UACGUAGGGGGCAAGCGUUGUCCGGAAUCAUUGGGCGUAAAGCGCGUGUAGGCGGCCCGGUAAGUCCGCUGUGAAAGUCGGGGGCUCAACCCUCGGAUGCCGGUGGAUACUGUCGGGCUAGAGUGCGGGAGAGGCGAGUGGAAUUCCUGGUGUAGCGGUGAAAUGCGUAGAUAUCAGGAGGAACACCGGUGGUGUAAACGGCUCUCUGGACCGUAACUGACGCUGAGACACGAAAGCGUGGGUAGCAAACAGG
rnacentral:rRNA from 1 species